AUGCUGGGGACCCUCUGCACUCUCAUCACUGCUCUCACAUGUGUGAGUGGUGUGACGGUGGUGACACAGAAGCCUGUUGUAGCCGUGACGACAGGGGAGACAGUCUCCAUAGACUGUAACCUCGGGACUGUUACUGACCGUGCUGCUUUCUGGUAUAAACAGAUUCCAGGAGGAGUUCCUCAGUUUGUAUUAUAUUAUCAUCACAGCCACAGCUCUCCAACAUAUGGCACUGGUUUCUCAUCUCCAAAGUUCACAUCCACUCAUCAGUCAACUUCAGAUUAUCGUUUGACCAUAAAGAACAUCGAGGAGGGAGACUCAGCCGUCUAUUACUGUAACACAUGGGACACCUCUGGAAAUGUAUCACAGUGAUUUACACUGUGACAAAAACCUCUUCACUGAGUACUUCUGCUUUUUGAGACGCUGACACAUUUCAAGUGAAACCAUCAGUCAAUUUCUGUAACUUAUAUUUCUUGUCUUUUAAAACCUCUAAACUCCAUUUAUUUAAUUGUGACACAAAGAUUUUGUUUGUAGUUAUUCAUAGUUUGCCAUGUGUACACACUUUAAAACAAAACUGUUCUUUAAUCAAAAGAACGUGCGUGACGUCA